rnacentral:lncRNA from 1 species
UAAACAAAUGGAUAAUUUUGAAACAUUUGUUCACGAUAAUUAUUAUUUUUACUCACGAGAACUUAUAUUUUUAGUUAUUUUUUUCACGUAAUAUUGUCGUCAUAAAAAGUAAUUAUUGUUAUGAAGAAGUGUAAUAUUUUAAAAGUAUUACAUUUUUCACAAAAAUAUAUAUAAAAGGGAAAAAGAAAAACAAUAAAUAAAGAAAAUACCGAAAGGAUAAAAAAACCAAAAUAUAUAAAAUAAUGCAAAAGAAAAAUAGUAAAAUUAAAAAUUAUGCAAUAGAAAAACAGUAAAAAAAAAUACCGAAAAGAAAAAAAAUAUAUAUAAAAAAAAAAACAGGACAUGGAUCCGCCCCUGCGUAUGACUUGAUACCGAUAUUUAUAAAAGCUUUAUCUUUAGCAAAAAAAUGUGCUCAUACAAAACAGAUUUUUCAAAAUGUCCAUUACAUAUGCAAUGUUAUAUGGGAGAGUUUUUCUAAUAGUGUGAUCAGUUGCUAAUCA